CUAUCUACCCAACAGGGGAUAGACUGAGAUCAGUAAUGCAGCCUUCCUGGGUAAGGAUAUUCUUUGCUUUCCAGGUAUGCUGACUCCUGUGAUUUCCCCAAAUGUGGAGAAGCUGAGUGCAUAAUUUGCAGUGAAAGACUGUAUUUAUACCUUUAA